GAAAUUUUCGCUUAUGAAACUGCAUUCAGAGCGACUGUUUUGAAAAUCCCACUGGGAGGUCAUUAAUACCAGAGAAAGAAGAUUGUUUAUUCAAUUCUUUCAGAUACACCUACAGAGAACAGUGUGACUGAACCAAGAAAAUAUGGGAAACAUUCCAUUCUUCAAUAAUUUUCUGGGAAAACAAUUAGCACAAAUAAUUCCAGAUUCUUCCCAGAUAGAAUGGACCCUCAAAUUCAAGGCUCACGAAAAUGUAUCUUUUAUGUUUUAAUUAGCGACGAAUGGAAAGGCUAAAGGCACCUUGCUGAAACCAAAAGGCAUCCAUAUUUCUCUUUAUCGCUAUUUCUACAUACAAAUCUGUCUUGAUCUUUUACACAUAAAUAUACUUAUGUAAACAGAAUUCAGAAUAAAUAUUAAAGAUCGUGAAU